rnacentral:rRNA from 1 species
CGUCCCGCCGGCGACCGGCGCACGGGUGAGUAACACGUAUGCAACCUGGCCGCCACAGGGGGAUAACCCGCGGAAACGCGGCCUAAUACCCCGUGACGCCACCGGAGGGCAUCCUCCGGUGGCCAAAGGAGCGAUCCGGUGGCGGAUGGGCAUGCGGCGCAUUAGCUAGACGGCGGGGUGACGGUCCACCGUGGCGACGAUGCGUAGGGGUUCUGAGAGGAAGGCCCCCCACACUGGGACUGAGACACGGCCCAGACUCCUACGGAAGGCAGCAG